rnacentral:lncRNA from 1 species
ACAGUGCUCUGUGCCAUCCAGGGACCAGCCGUGUGCUCUCGAGUUACUGGAGCAGCGCAAGCAGCUCCAGUGGUCUCAGCUGUGGAGACAGCUGUUUGCCCACCGUCUGCGAUGGCAGAAAUGUGUGGUCCCAAUUUGGGCCCCGAGUCUGCUGGAGAAAAGAGAAAGGCUGAGAAGAAGCCUACCUUACCUGUGGCUCUGGGUCUGAGGAUGGCCAGGAGAACAGAGAGCAAAGCAGAGCCAAUGCAAGACCUCUGGCCCUGGAAGCCGAAGGGUCUCUCACAGGUCAACGCUGGAUCUACUCCAUCAUCAUCUUCACUAGCACACCCAGUUCGAUUGAGGAGCCUUGACGUGGGAUAUUGAUGGGAUUUUGAGAGAAAAGAGAAAUGGUGAAUCAAGCACUAAUCUCAAAGCUUCUGCACAGAACUACUUACAUGUCACUUCCUCCCAUGACUAUUCCUAAAUUCAGCCAAAAGGGGACACAUAAUCUCUUACGGGGGAGGGCACCACGGGGAGAGAAACCCGAAUAUUUGGUGAAUAGUAACACAAUCUACUUUGUUAUAGAAUCUGUCCUCAAUGGUCUUACAGUCUAAGAGCAUUACAUUUAGUUACAGUAGUCUUAAAUAUGAUACUAAAUGAAUUGAAUAGCCAGACAUCUGUGAAAGUAAAACUGUGAUAAUACAAAGUCAGUGUGCUUUUAAGUUUCAAUUGCUUAAAGUUAUUUGGAAGUAAGGAUCACAUGAGUUCAGAGCCCCAGGAUUCAAAAAUAACUCCAGAAUCUUUUAUCACUCCCCAAAGGAAAAGCAAUAAUAAGUAAGUUACCAGACAUUCAUGUAAUCUCUCUGAAACUGUAAGACUAACAAAGGAAAAUUUUCAAAAGGCAAAAAUACUUUAUUAUUUAUUUGCAAUAGAAAUUAUUCAGCCGGGCGCGGUGGCUCAGGCCUGUAAUCCCAGCACUUUGGGAGGCCGAGGCGAGUGGAUCACCUGAGGUCGGGAGUUCGAGACCAGCCUGACCAACAUGGAGAAACCCCGUCUCUACUAAAAAUACAAAAUUAGCUGGGUGUGGUGGCACACGCCUGCAAGCCCAGCUACUCAGGAGGCUAAGGCAGGAGCGACAGAGUGAGACUCCAUCUCAAAAAAAAAAAAAAAAAAAAGAAAGGAAGAAAAGAAAAGAAAGAAAUUUUUCAGUAAAUACAUACAACAGCAUUGAUGGCCUGGAGACAUACCACCUGCCGUUGUGAUCCUGGCAGAUGUGAUAGAUUCUACAAGGUUGGACAGGUUAAAUUCUUGCAAGGAAGUCCUUUCUGGAACACCCAAGAAUUACAGAAAGUUUAGCUCUCUUUCAGAUGAGAUUUCAUUCUCAGUUUUGCUUGUUCCAUGACCCUUCCAAACUACACACGGGAUUCUUUUCAUUCAGUUGCCUUGGCCAACAUUUUAUCUCCAAUAAUCCUAUUUUAUGUAACUGAGUUUGCCUUGCCCUUUACUGCAUUUAGGUAAAUGGAAUGGUGUUUUUUAGACUUCUGAAACUAUUUGUAGACCUUUUCCUUCACAAGUUUGAAAUAAAUGUGAGGCAUUCAUUUUAUUCAGACAACACUGAGCCCAAUUCACUUGGGAAAAUGCAUCUUGAUGGGUAAUUCACCACCCAGAGCCUGUCCACUAUUCUGUUCCUCCCUGAGAGUAAAUUAGGCACUUUGAAAGGUGCAUUAAACUCUUCCUGGCUACUAGGUACCAUUUAGAACUGUGGGGCAAUAAUUUACUUAAUGGUACCUUGGUGACCUCAAAAAGUUUAUAUUGUUUUGAAAGCUCUUAAUUUUCUCCCACUAAAUAAUUUAUGCAUUCAGAGGUAGGGUGUGCUUAUAAAUAUGUUUCCAGAGAGACAACAGCUAUUGAAUAGCAUAAAUAAGAUAAAAUAGUCAUGCUAGUGUAGAAAUUAAAUGUUCACAAAUGUGUUAUCUAGUCUAUCCAUAGAAUAAAAGUGUAGCUUAUCAAACAAUUAUUGCUUUGGAUUUCAUUUUUUAAAUUUACAAGACUGUGUUACAUUUUGUUGUAAUUAGUAAUGCUUCAUAGCUACAAGGAUUACCAGAUCCAUAUCACUGCAUUUUUCCAUAGCACAAAACACAUUUAUCCAAAGUAAAAAUAGUGUGCUAAACAUACUGAAGUUUCUGACAGACACUUACAUUUCCCUUCAUUCUUUCAUUCACAGCAGAGUUUCAUCCAUAUUAAAUAAAUUGGUUAAGUUUUGAUACCUCCCACUUUAAUCACUCAUCUUAUGUACUAAAAUGAAUCAAAUUAAGUUUGAGCCAACAAAUAAAAGUGAUAUGCUUUGA